UGACUGAAGAAAUAAUAAAAUAGAAUACUUAAGAAAUUGCAGACAUAAGGUGGAAGCUGACUCUCCAACAAGUUAUUGAAUUUCUGAAUAUCUCCCUAGAGAUUUUGAAGAGGAAAUUUCUCCUUUAGUGAGAUCAGAGACUUUCUCUUGGUUUGAACUGAGAUCUUCUCAUCGUCACAGCAGAAGAGCUUAUGUGGAAUUCUGGAUCUGUUAAGUGGGAGACAUGAAAGGAAAUGGUAACAAAGGCAACAUGGAAAUGAGCCGAAAUCCAUUGUUCUAAAAUUACACCAUUAGUGGGGAGAUAGGUUGAUUCUAUUCCUUCCUCUACCCUUAGGAAUUUAUUAGUGUGUUGGCUGAAGCAGGAAGGCAAGAGUAGCAUGGCCUCUAUAGAAAACACUUUAAAUCUCUUUAUUUCAAAGAGCUAGGGGUCUUUGAUACUUACCAACACUCCUCCUCAAUGGAGCAAUAAUUCUGCAAUUCAAAACUCCCAAGUGUCAAAAAUCUGGUUAAAUGGCUGUAUUGUGAAUUGCAUGUGAGGGCUCAGCAUUUUAGGGAAACUCUGUGCUAGUGGUUGAAAGAACUUUAACUGCAAAAUUUUAUCUUUAGCUAUGAACACAGGGAAUUAUAUAAUUGUCCUGUGACCAAGUUUAACAAAAGCUAUAAACACCCUCAGCUUUCAUUCUGAGGUUAAUAAAAAAAAAAGCCCCAAAACA
rnacentral:lncRNA from 1 species